GCUGCUUCCUGGGUGACCUGCUUCUACCUCCGUCUGUGUGGAGCACUCCAUGUCCAUCUGAUCUCAUCGUGCAAACGACUGCUUCCCCACGUAAAGAUGUAUUCAAAGACUGGAGAGAGAGAAGGAUGGUGAAUUACUCCCCAGAUAACCAGCAUGUAGAACAACCUAAGGAGGAGAUGAACUUGGAAUAAACUUCAAUGUGGACAUGUGGAACCAGAACAUUUGGAGGAAGUUUGGAUUCAUCCACAUUCUCAGCCUGAACAUAGAUGAGAUUUGACAAAGAUCAGAUCUGCUGAAGGUCAUCAAAUACCUGAACCUGGAUGGUGUAUUAGACUGGAGGCAGCUUUGACCAGACCCCAGACCUACAUCAACCAGUAACCCUGACGAGGAGUGUUGAGCUGAGGUCUGAUGUCAUCUUCCUGGUUCAUGCGUCUGGACUGAAACCAUUUUUCUGAUGGACUGGAAGGUGGAGGUGCUGCUGGGAUGGUGUGACAUGGAUUUUUACUAUCCAAUCAGAACUGGGAUUCUGGAAAUAUUCUUUUUCUAAAACAUUUUCUACCACAGUGGUUGUACAUAGUGUAGUGUGGGUGUGUUGUGCUGACACCUACCUGAUGUUCACCUGUGGUGGAAGUAAUUAGUCUCAGUGUUAGAGGGGAUAGAGGGGGGGGUCGAGGAGGACUGGAGGUUGUGGCAGUUGAAGUAGAGGCACUGUGGUGGGUGGGUGCUGCUCGCAGCUUAUAGUGCUGCUGGCAGU